ensembl:lncRNA
UCUUGAACUUCCAGCCUUCAGAACUGUGAGAAAUACAUUUCUGUUGUUUAUAAGCCACUCAGUCUACGGUAUUUUUGUUACCGCAGCUUGAAUGGACUAAGACAGGACACUAUUGAGCAUCUCUCCUGAGAUGAUGAAUCAAUCAUUCUUGGAACCUGAACACUAAGCCUGCUGAUGAGUGAGGUCACACUCAUUUGGAGCUGCUGGAGAAGAAGAAGGCUAUUUCCUUAUGGACCUUACUGUUAAAGACAGAUGUAAUCAUCAAAUGGAAAAAUCCUCAAAUAUUUAGAAAUUCCAGCAUGUGAAGAUAAACUCUUCUCUGCUGCUCUCCAUCGUCUCCAAUAUCACCUCUUGCGUGAGAGUUUCCUCUGACCUUUACCGCCCGCUCAGCCAACAUACGAAUACAGGAAGAAACACACAACUUAGAAAAGGUGAUUCUAAAGCGCGAGUCUGAGAACCGCCACUAUUGACAGGAGCCACUGACAUCCGCCUUGGCAUCCAAGUUAGCAGAAUGGAGCCUCUAAGCAAAAAGAAGGCACCAGGGGCAGUAGGACACUCAGGAUAUUCUCCGGGGUACAGGCACACGGUGUGCAGCUGCCAUCUGAACCCUGAAACUUCUGGGGUUUUGGCCACAGCGCUGCCAAUGGGAAAGCUACUGACGGGCAGCUCUGCAUGCAGGAUGCUGGCAGCUCGUCAGCCCCACCCAACAGAACUUUGUGUCACCUGGAAAAAACGCAGCAGACCUAAAAAUUUUCAGAAUUAUUUUUUAAUGACAUUCCUCUGUUUUUCUUCCUUUGCUAGAAGUCAAAUUCAAAAACUCCAAAUACCAAAUAGAUUGUUUAAAAAAAUGUUUAGUUUAAGGGCUGGCCCCGUGGCCGAGUGGUUAGGUUCGUGUGCUCCGCUUUGGCAGCCCAGGGUUUCACCAGUUCAGAUCCUGGGCGCAGACAGGGCACCGCUCAUCAGGCCAUGCUGAGGUGGCGGCCCACAUGCCACAACUAGAAGGAUCUACAACUAGAAUAUACAUCUAUGUGCUGGGGGACCUUGGGGAGAAGAAGGAAAAAAGAAAACAAGAGGUUGGCAACAGAUGUUAGCUCAGGUGCCAGUCUUUAAAAAAAGUGUUUAGUUUAAAAAGCCAUCUGAGUCCCAGCCUGAGGUCAGGGGACAAAAAGGGGCUGCAUGGGCCCCUCCAAAGAAGGCUCUGUCCCAUCAGGGAUGUUGGCGAAACCCUGAGGCCUUCUAGCAAGGGGAGACAGAGGCUGGCUGUGCAGCAAGCCAGACCCCGUGCAGUGCUUCCAAGAACAGACUCCACAGUCCUUCUGCAAGACCAGACAAGUUUCUCUCAAUUCCCUGCUCCAGGCUGAGGGAAGCUGAAUCUGAGGACUGGGACCCUGGCGUUUACACUGGCAGAAGCUGGGCUUCUUAAGUGUCAAGUUUCCCAGAGUGAUCCGACUUAUUGACAUUACACUUCAGGAUGCAAACUGAGAGCUCCAAAAAGCUGUGUUUACUUUUUUAGGGUUUCAGCAGCUUUUACACACACACACACACACACAUAUACACACACUCACUCCAGAUUGUCUUUGUGCAAAGAGAGCGUUGUGUUUAUAUAUUAUUUUAACAAGUCUUCCUGGUCUCUUCACUGUGCAUUUCUAACAGCUGUUCUG